GACGAACGCUGGCGGCGUGCCUAAUACAUGCAAGUAGAACGCACAGUUUAUACCGUAGCUUGCUACACCAUAAACUGUGAGUUGCGAACGGGUGAGUAACGCGUAGGUAACCUGCCUGGUAGCGGGGGAUAACUAUUGGAAACGAUAGCUAAUACCGCAUAAUAUUGAUUAUUGCAUGAUAAUUGAUUGAAAGAUGCUAUUGCAUCACUACCAGAUGGACCUGCGUUGUAUUAGCUAGUAGGUGAGGUAACGGCUCACCUAGGCGACGAUACAUAGCCGACCUGAGAGGGUGAUCGGCCACACUGGGACUGAGACACGGCCCAGACUCCUACGGGAGGCAGCAGUAGGGGAUCUUCGGCAAUGGACGAAAGUCUGACCGAGCAACGCCGCGUGAGUGAAGAAGGUUUUCGGAUCGUAAAGCUCUGUUGUAAGGGAAGAACGGGUGUGAGAGUGGAAAGUUCACACUGUGACGGUAUCUUACCAGAAAGGGACGGCUAACUACGUG
rnacentral:rRNA from 1 species